CUGCUGGAGCGGGAGCUGCGACGAGGCUGGGGCUCGGGCGCGUUGUACGGGAGUGAAAAUGACUGCAAGGUGAAAAUUUCUGCUCUCCCCAGUAGGUACAGUUAGUAUGAAAUAGGAGUAAUACAUCCUAGACCCAGCUCUCCAUUAUUAGAAUUUGGUUGCUACUUCUUGCUGAUCAGUUACGAAGUAUUAAUUCAAGUAAUUUGUUAUGUAUAAUUUGUCAAAAGCAAUUGGAUGUUAAUCUGCUAUGGGCAGCGGCGGUGCAUCAAGGUGCAAGGCAGCAGCGACAUGUUCAUAGUACGCUAAAGGAUGAACUCCUACUUUUUCUGAUGCUAGCUCCUUGCUGCAGGAUAUGCAUUGUGCUUAAACAUGAGUGCUCGCUUGCUGAACGUUGGCCCUCGGAUGAAUUCGACGCUUGAAUCGAGCUGACGAGCCCCAUGGCGGUGAGAGGCGGAUAACAAUACGAGAAGGAGCAUGCCAUCGAGGAGUGCAAGCAGCGGCACUCCUCCGCAAUGGGGUAUGGCUGCGGGGGAGGGGACGCGGCCAACGACAGGAAGAAGGAGCAGGUCGUCGAGGACUACAAGCAGCAGGAUUAUUUUUGGCCCAUACAGUUUCCUUUGACUGGAAGUCUGAAACUGAAGAUAGGGCAUAUUGUUUUGGUUCUGAGUGGCCGGAGAUAUUGUGGCUUGAUGUCCCUAGAGCAAUCGGACCCUUCCAAGAUAGCAGAAGAUCUUUGGGAUUGACGUUCUGAUGAGAAAGUAGCAUACGGAUGGAUGGACAUGAACUAUUCAGUGGUCGAACUGCGCUAUAUUUCUUUCAUUGAGGCGAGGGUGAUUCCAGUAGAUUUUGCUUGGCGUACUCGCCUUUUUUUAUUGAAGUUGGGUGUCCGUCUUCUCUGCGGCAAGGAUCUGGGGAGUCAGAUUGCGGAUUACAUGUAGUGGGGAAGUAGAGAGGGGGACGAGGAAGAGGACACCGUCGGUGGCGUGCUAUAUCUCACUAGGCGACAAUGUCGAGAGCGUGCCUGGCAUCAAGAACCUGACAUGCUUUUCCGAGUGUUAGUUGAGGUGAGCCACCUGGGCCGGUCUAUGGGUUGAGGUGGUUUGAUAAUCCUGGGUUGUUUUUCUUUUUCCUGCGUUUUUUUUCAGGAAAUGACUUUAUUUAUUGGAAAAUGGCAAUAUCGUUUACAAGUAUACAUGAAACAAACUAUUUUUCCUACGCCUCUUUGUUCUGUGUAAUGGUGCUCUUGGUUGAGUGUGCUGACGAAAGAGAUUCCAUGCUACAGGCUAGGUAGCUUCUCAGUAACUCUUCGUGAUUUGCUUGCAAUGUUAUACUUUGCAAAAUUGUUCCUUGCAAUCCUAAAAUGGUUUCUCAAAACAUGGGAAAAAUUACAUUCUAAAAAUUGUAGGCACACUGAGUGAAGCAUAUAUAUAAAUUCUAUUAUAACAGAGGUCAGGUAUAUAUAUGCAAGUUGUUAUAAUAUGAUUUUAUUAGAAUAGAGGUCAGGUACUGCCAUGGCGUAAGGAGGGAGUGACACCAAGUUUUAUAUAUAUUGUGAUUUCAGUUUUCAUCAAUGUCGCUAUUAUUAUUAUCUCUUUGUAACUUCAUAUAAAAUCAGUACUGACAUGGUCAUCUUACAGUGUAAAAAUGGUAGGUGGUAGAAUCAUAACCUGUGACUGAGUGCCUUAAGAAGUUCUUUUCAUUAUUGUUAAUUAAUAUAAUGUUUAGGGCCAGUUUAUAUGCGUCGUCGAAAAAUAUGAGUAAAAUCAGUGAAUAUUUUGCAUUGCCUUGGUGUUUGGUGUGUCUAUUGCAUAAUCCUUUUCUUUUUUGCUUCUCUUUCCAAGCAAGGACCAGGCUGGGAACAUAUGUUUAUAAUGAAGUUCUUUCAUUGCACAUCUAUGCUGUCGCGGCAACACAGGCCAAAACACAUUCAGGAAAUAUGUCACCAACUUCCCCAAGGUCCCGCAUCGUCUACUCAGGAUAUUCUGUGCCCCAAGCCCUACAGAAUAAUGCCCAGUCUAAUUUCAGCAGUGGGCAUGACAGCCUCAAACUUCUCUCUUCAAUAUUGAAGAAGCGGCUUACUCAGAUCAAUGGGCAUGCACCAUGCACUUAGAAAAAUAGCUAAAGAGUACACGAUAUUCCUAGAGUAAAUAAAGGGCAUGUUGUGCUCAUAAGUUAGACAGAAGCAAAAUGUUAUUUAUUAUGCUCCUGUUGUAUCCUCGGACAUUUUCUUCCACCUACAAAUACCACAGUAUUGAAUAUCUACUUUCCCACUGUUGUAUUGAUAACCCACAAGUAUAGGGGAUUGCAACAGCUUUUGAGGGUAGAGUAUUCAACCCAAAUUUAUUGAUUCGACAUAAGGGAA